rnacentral:rRNA from 1 species
UAGGGAAUCUUCCGCAAUGGACGAAAGUCUGACGGAGCAACGCCGCGUGAGCGAUGAAGGCCUUCGGGUCGUAAAGCUCUGUUGUUAGGGAGGAACAAGUACCGGAGUAACUGCCGGUACCUUGACGGUACCUAACCAGAAGGCCACGGC